ACUUGCAUAUCGAGUUGUUUCUCAAUCUGGCUUCCUUUUUCUUUUUUUCCCCACCCUCUUCCCUCCUCCUGCCGCUGCUUACAAAUGGGAAAGUCGGGUCUCUAAGGACUCCUGCAGGUUGGCAGGAGUUCUUGUCAGCAUGAGGACUCUGGUCAGAGUGUGGCCUGCUCCAGAUGCCAGAACCAAGUCGUUCCCCUUCGGCUGUGGCGCCGGAGCCUCAAGGCCAUGGGCCUGCCCAGGGAGUGCCAGACGGACGCCCACCUCUGCUGUCUCUGCUCCGUUUGCGUACCCUCCAGCUGACUCAAGCCGGAAGCAGAACAAGAAUCACUCCUGUGGACCAGUGUUGGGACCAAAAAUUCCUCAGGGGGUUCCUGAUGGGAAAAUCUCAAGUCUCAACACCAGGACAGAAAUUCUGAUUUCUCUUCUGGAAGCCUCCCAGGAUGACCUCUCCAGCUCACUGACACUCACUAAGCCCCACUUGUAAGCCUUGCCUUACCACGCGGAGAUGCGGCAACAAGACAAGAAGUCCUCAGCCCACUGUGGGGAGCUGCAGCAGACCAGCUGUGAAUCAGGGCAGCUAGAAGCAGGGGAGAAACCUCUAGAAGCAGGAGAGUCUCCCAGCUCAGCCUGGGGAACGUGGCCGGCACAGGUCUGCCCCCAGCACAGGGAAAGCAUGGGGAAGGCACAGCCCUGAUAGAGGGACCAGGAACCCUCAAGGGAGGCAAAGUGAAAAUGAAAGAAAGUGAAGUCGC